rnacentral:rRNA from 1 species
AGUGAUGAAGGCGAUGAGGUCACACCCGUUCCCAUACCGAACACGGAAGUUAAGCUCUUCAGCGCCGAUGGUAGUUGGGGGUUUCCCCCUGUGAGAGUAGGACGUCGCU